UGGGGAAUAUUGCGCAAUGGGCGAAAGCCUGACGCAGCGACGCCGCGUGAGGGAUGAAGGUUUUCGGAUCGUAAACCUCUGUCAGAAGGGAAGAAACCGCACUGUGCUAAUCAGCAGUGCCUUGACGGUACCUUCAAAGGAAGCACCGGCUAACUCCGUGCCAGCAGCCGCGGUAAUACGGAGGGUGCAAGCGUUAAUCGGAAUUACUGGGCGUAAAGCGCACGUAGGCUACUUUGUAAGUCAGGGGUGAAAUCCCACGGCUCAACCGUGGAACUGCCUUUGAUACUGCUUAGCUUGAAUCCGGGAGAGGGUGGCGGAAUUCCAGGUGUAGGAGUGAAAUCCGUAGAUAUCUGGAGGAACAUCAGUGGCGAAGGCGGCCACCUGGACCGGUAUUGACGCUGAGGUGCGAAAGCGUGGGGAGCAAACAGG
rnacentral:rRNA from 1 species